GCAUCGAUAGCUCAGCGGCAGAGAGGUGGGGCGUUUACCCAUGCAGCUCGGGAUGGCCCGGGUUCGAUCCCCGGUCGAUGCA